rnacentral:rRNA from 1 species
GACGAACGCUGGCGGCGUGCUUAACACAUGCAAGUCGAACGGAAAGGCCCUGCUUUUGUGGGGUGCUCAAGUGGCGAACGGGUGAGUAACACGUGAGUAACCUGCCCUUGACUUGGGGAUACCUUCAGGAACCUGGGGCUAAUACCGGAUAGGAGCUCCUGCGGCAGGGUGGGGGUUGGAAAGUUUCGGCGGUUGGGGAUGGACUCGCGGCUUAUCAGCUUGUUGGUGGGGUAGUGGCUUACCAAGGCUUUGACGGGUAGCCGGCCUGAGAGGGUGACCGGCCACAUUGGGACUGAGAUACGGCCCAGACUCCUACGGGAGGCAGCAGUGGGGAAUAUUGCACAAUGGGCGGAAGCCUGAUGCAGCAACGCCGCGUGCGGGAUGACGGCCUUCGGGUUGUAAACCGCUUUCGCCUGUGACGAAGCGUGAGUGACGGUAAUGGGUAAAGAAGCACCGGCUAACUACGUG